UACGUAGGGGGCUAGCGUUGUCCGGAAUCAUUGGGCGUAAAGAGCGUGUAGGCGGUCCGGUAAGUCCGCUGUGAAAGUCGGGGGCUCAACCCUCGAAUGCCGGUGGAUACUGUCGGGCUAGAGUGCGGAAGAGGCGAGUGGAAUUCCUGGUGUAGCGGUGAAAUGCGCAGAUAUCAGGAGGAACACCUAUCGCGAAGGCAGCUCGCUGGGACGUAACUGACGCUGAGACGCGAAAGCGUGGGGAGCAAACAGG
rnacentral:rRNA from 1 species